GUGCCAGCAGCCGCGGUAAAACGUAGGAGCCAAGCGUUAUCCGAAUUCACUGGGCGUAAAGCGUGUGCAGGCGGCAUUAUAAGUUGGAUGUGAAAUCUCCUGGCUCAACUGGGAGAGGCCGUUCAAUACUGUAAAGCUCGAGGGCAACAGAGGGAGGUGGAAUUCCCGGUGUAGUGGUGAAAUGCGUAGAUAUCGGGAGGAACACCAGUGGCGAAAGCGGCCUCCUGGGUUGCACCUGACGCUCAGACACGAAAGCUAGGGGAGCGAACGGGAUUAGAAACCCCGGUAGUCCUAGCCGUAAACGAUGUAGACUUGGUGUCGGCGGGGUAAAAGCCGUCGGUGCCGCAGCCAACGCGAUAAGUCUACCGCCUGGGGACUACGGCCGCAAGGUUAAA
rnacentral:rRNA from 1 species